CAUGUGGUUUAAUUCGAUGCAACGCGAAGAACCUUACCAGGUCUUGACAUCUGUAGAAUCCGGUUGAAAGAUCGGAGUGCUUCGGGAGCUACAAGACAGGUGGUGCAUGGUUGUCGUCAGCUCGUGUCGUGAGAUGUUGGGUUAAGUCCCGCAACGAGCGCAACCCUUGCUAUUAGUUGCUAACAGGUAGAGCUGAGCACUCUAAUGGGACUGCCCGUGACAAGCGGGAGGAAGGUGGGGAUGACGUCAAAUCAUCAUGCCCUUUAUGAUCUGGGCUACACACGUGCUACAAUGGAUGGUACAGAGAGCAGCGAGGCCGCGAGGCGGAGCGAACCUCAAAAAGCCAUUCUCAGUUCGGAUUGCAGUCUGCAACUCGACUGCAUGAAGUCGGAAUCGCUAGUAAUCGCGAAUCAGCACGUCGCGGUGAAUGCGUUCCCGGGCCUU
rnacentral:rRNA from 1 species